CAAGAUCUGGCACAGGACUGCACAAGACGAGCGUCUUUGGGAGCUGAUCUGCACGCGUCACUGGGCCAACAUCGGCUGCAGCCAACACCAGCUCAGAUUCGUAGUCUUGGCGCUUGGCGGCUUCAAACAACUCCACUCGCUCUACCUGUGGCCUCUCUCGAGUCCGAAUCAACAUGGUAGAUUGGGUAAAGACGAGCUGAAACUCUCCCUUUCUCUCCUCUCGAUUCGGUACUACGAGAAGAUGAAUUUCACUAAGAGACUCCCCUGAGUCCAAAUGAUUUCCAACACCAGCAUGGGAGCUGAUCUGCACGCGUCACUGGGCCAACAUCGGCUGCAGCCAACACCAGCUCAGAUUCGUAGUCUUGGCGCUUGGCGGCUUCAAACAACUCCACUCGCUCUACCUGUGGCCUCUCUCGAGUCCGAAUCAACAUGGUAGAUUGGGUAAAGACGAGCUGAAACUCUCCCUUUCUCUCCUCUCGAUUCGGUACUACGAGAAGAUGAAUUUCACUAAGAGACUCCCCUGAGUCCAAAUGAUUUUACUUCGGA
rnacentral:lncRNA from 1 species